CAGGCUCAGCCCGCACCCCGCAGCCCUCAGCCCCGCAGCCCGCCCGCCUCAGCCCCCGCCCGCUCUCUCUCUCACGCACACCGGCCGGACGGUGAAGACCCGGCGCGCUCCGACCCCGGCGGCGGCUCGUCUGUGAGGGACGGGGCGGCCGGCGCCGUGCGUCGGCUUCGCUCCCUCUCUAGGCAACACCGCCGGGCUGCUCGGAGCCGCUCCCGGGAAGGCGAGCGCGGCCGGAGGGGCGGGGAGGGGGUCCGGCACACGGGCGAGCUGUGCGGAAGCCGGUGCCUUUCAGCUGAGGCAUCCGAACAGCGGCCGCCCCGGCAACGGCGGACGCGGCGGCGGCAGGGCGGGUUCGCCACCGCCGGGCUCGCCGCGGCCCCCGGGUCACCGGCCCCGCAGGGAGGGAGGGGGAGAGCCCGGGCGGGCGCGGUGACAGCCGCGCCCCCGCGCUCCUACCUGGGAGGGGCCGCCCGGGGGGACGCGCUGCCCGCCGGGUUCCGCCGCCGCGCCGGGCGCAUGGGCUCAGCCCCGCUCCCCCGCCGCAGGGCCGGCUGCCAGAGCGCAGGCGGCCCGGGCCAUUACCCUGGCGCGGCGGCGGGGCCAGCCGGGGCGGGCAGGGGGAGGGCUGUGCCGCCGGGGCCGCCCCUCGGGGCUUUGACAGCGGGGUCCGCCCGCGGGCCCGGCCCGGUCGCCCCUCACGGAGCAGGGAAGGGGGUGCACGGGCACACCGUGCUUGGCCCGGCCGGUGGCAGAGGGUGAGCGCUCCCUGCGCACCGGGCCCCGCACCUUCCCAGUGCCCGCCCCGGCGGGGAGAGCUCCCUGUGCUCGUACACUUGCCUCCCGAGAGGUCCGUGAUUUCCCUUCCCGCUGCCCUGCUGCCACAGGCCUGGUCCUUUCCCCUCUGCCCACGAGUGUGGGGUUGCUGACCCCAGACACCCUGCUCACGGGUCCGGCGGCCCCGGCCCCGGGCACAACCGCGUGGGCACCACCAGCCUCCCCGCCGCGGAGCCGCCGGCAGCGCCCUAUAAACAGCUCGUGUGCGAAAGCCACAGCCGCUGCAGCGUGUCAUGGAGAAGCAGCGGGAGAGAGCAAAGCCUUGCCAAGGGACUGGGCCCGGGAAGCAUGAGAUGGGUCAGAGGUGGGUACAACCUGGCCAAGACAUCUCCCCGAUGACGCAGUUCCAGGUGCACUCAGUGCUUCUGUAAAAAGUGGCCAUGCAUCACUCCCUUCCUGCCCUACAGGUGCAGGAGCUGGCCCGUGCCAGCAGAGACAAUUAAACUAGCUCAGAGCAAGCACCACAGCGCUGUGACAUUUGCGCUGGCUCCUCCUGGGCCAGCUCGGGUCUGGAAGCAAUCUAGUUGGGUUUAUUAGCUUGGGCCUGGUUCCAAGCAAAUGCAGGCUGAGCCGCGAUGUGCAGCUUUGCACCAGCAAGCUUUACCAGCCCACACUUUUCUGGCUCAGGGUGUCUGCACCCUGCUGCCCUGCAUGCUGCUGUCAGCACAGGUGCAGCACAGCAGGUCUGUAACACACCAGGACAGCUCAAGGAUAGCAGUGACUCGGAGUCAGCCCUGAUUUACAUGGGUGUAAAUCAGACAGACGGCUGGCUAGAAAUCCUGCUUGUUCAGAGCAAACCUAAAGGAGAGGCUUGGGAGAUUUAGCACAAGGAGGAGGGACAGCUACUGAACUGGCAUCUUGCUACACCCCUCCUGAGGAGCAUCCCGCAGGGAGACAAAAGAUCUUCAUCAUCUUGUAGCACAGAUGCUGCACAGAAUGCUUCACUCACAGUAUUAUCCAGACCCUUAAUAACAUCUUUCACCCUGCAGAGUACAGGAAUGGUCAGGACAGGAAGGCAUGACUUUUUCUUGGCAAACGCUAUGAGUGUUGUGGAUUUAGUGGGAGGGAAGCAACUCUCCAUAAAAGACACAAGAUCUUGAGAUGGAACAAGCAGUUCUGGGAGCACCAGUACUAAUGACUCUCAUUUGCAGUGCCUCUCCUCAUUCCUGCCCAGUGUGGAUGCCCUGAGGUCUACCAAAGAAGGAGCUUGCCAGCCUUUCUCUUCAACAGUGACAGUAAUAGGGUCUUUUUUUUCUAUAAGGUCAUAUCUUAAACUGUUAAUAGCUCUCUGUCAAAUGUGGUUAAAAAUGGAUAAAUCCCUUCAGAAUAUCUCAGUGAGAACAAGAAGCUGCAAAAAGGGAGAAAUCCUCACUUUAAGUCUAUAGGAAACUAAAUAUCAACUAGGCGGCACAAAUACUGAAUUUGAAUGUUUUUAUAGAUCUCCAGGAUAUCACCAAUGUAAAAAUUUUCAGUGUAUGUUGUCACUCUGUGCGGUUGUACUCUACAGCCACCUCUCAGUGCUCUGCUAACCUACAUCCCCUAUUCCCCAGUCCCAUCUGUCCCUGGGGCUCUCAGGACCGAGCUGUUCUUUCUCUUCAAUUUGGAAAUGCCAAAGGCACCUGGCAGUGCUACCAGAAGCAGUAAUUAUUUAAGACACAAAACCACUGUGGCAACAGUCUAAACUUCAGUUGACGUGAAGAGGCAGUAAAAUUUACUGAAGGAAAUAUUAUUCCAGAACACAGUGUAACCAAGGUAAUCCUGCUGCUUCCAGUGCAGGAGGAAAAUAGUGUUGAGAUGGAUUUUGAACACGGGCUCAUCUUGUUCAAAUUAUUACAACUAUAUUGAUACACACUGCCCAAAUAUCUGAACUGGAGGGGUUUUCCUAGAAAACGGGUAGUUUUGAAUAUAUUGGGUACCUUCCUAGAGGGAUUUUCUUUUGUGGUUAGGGAGCUUCCCACAGCAGGCAGGAAAAAGGACAGCUCGUUAACCCACAUCACUCUGCAUUUUCUACCUGAGGCCGUCUGAACCACUGCUUAUUUCUUUUUUUCACCAUUACCAAUAUCCAGAAUAUUCCGCAAAAUACCGGCAGGUGCCGCCACUGGCUCAGCAAUCGCCCAGGGCUGGGCUGCUCCGCGGGCAGGAACGGGCACGGAGCCUCCUCGGUGCUCUGGGCACCCUCUAAAAGCCAGGAAGGCUUUGGACUGAAGCACAUCAGAGCUCCAAUCUCCAACAGCAUAUAGGGUGAAGGCCCUUCACAGCGAGAUGAAUUUCCCCGUGGCAGGUCAUCUCCCAGAGUUGGAGACCUCAUGGCUCAGGCUGCAGGAACCCAUGGCUGUAACUGGCCGCUGCGCUGUGUGUCGUCACAAACCGGAUCUUCGAGAAACUUGGAGCAGCUGAAACCUCCAGUUCCCCCAGCAGUUCUGUGGGAGGAGAGGAAUGAAGCAGAACAGAUACAGGCAGAGUGUCUGGGCCACACAUGGAAUGUAUUUACUGCACAUCAGCCAAGCCCUGCGCAGAAUACAGUUCAUUUACUCCAGGGCAUUUCUUUAGUGUCCAUCACUGCAGCAGCCUACUGAUUUUGGACACAAAUGUUUUGUUAUCAUCACUGGAGGUUGUUUCUCAGGCACGAGGGACCUGCACCAUUUGUUUAUACAACAGGUUUGUCCAAAGCCAGUCUGCCCGAUGCAAAUCUCCACCAGUCUGCAGCAAGAGAAAGCAACAUUCUAAUUCGAGAACAUCCCCUUACAACACCAGAGCCUGGCAAACCACAUUCCAGCUGUCUACAGCACCCAAAUGCAUUUGAUCCACACAGCAAAUACAUGAACACCAUACUGGUGAUGGAAAAUAUCAAAGACCACAGGGUGGAAGGUGGUGAUGGGAGAAGUGGGAGCAUGGCUGCCAUGGGCAGGUGAAGCCCUGCAGCUGCAAUACACCUGUUUGUACAGGGAAAGCACUGCAAGCUGCCACUAUUCAUCCCCUGGGGAAAGGGGACAACACUGCACAUGGCAAGAAGCUCCUCCACAGCCAAGGGUGCUCCCGGAGCCACCUCAUAUGCAGUGACGUACACCCAACCCCUCAGAGCAUCAGGCACUCCCCCAGGCAGAGCUCCCAUCCCAGAGGUGGCCACUGGCAGGAGGUGGGGGAGAUCUGGCAUGCACACAGCCCACAGGCUGCACCACUUGCCUGUGACUGAACAGGUACCAGAAAAUUCAUCAGCAAGAGGCUGGUACUUCCACGGCUGCAGCUGGAUGCCCUCAGAGCCGUAGGUCUGUGGCAGGUGGGAAGAUGGCUGCUCCAGGCCCAAGGACACCGAGCACAGCACACACAAUGCAGCCUCUGUUCACUGCACAAGCAACAGAAUCGAAAACACUUCAUUUCAAGGGGGCAUUCAGGCCUGGAGCCACCACUGGCACAGGGACAGCUCUCCAAAGUGGCAGAGUGCUCCUAUUGAGGGAGCAAGUCUGGCCUGGCUCCUGUGGAUACAGCAGCGUGCAACAGCUCCAAGGAUCAGGGCCACUGCAUUUGUCCACCCACAGGCUGAAUUCCAAAGCUCUACCUCAGAAAACUAAGCAGGAUAUACGGGGUUUUUUUCAGACAUAACAGGUUGCUUAAGAGCUAAAGCCUCUAUUUCAUUAUUCCAUUGUAGCAGGAACACAGGUCUGAACCAUCAACCUUGUACCUCUCCACAGCUGCAGUGGAAAUAAUUUCAGGUCCUCUUGAAUACAGCUGACCUGUGGGAGAGGCAGGUUGCUCACAAGGUUGCCAGAAUGCUGUUUCACUUGUGCAUGCAGCAGGCAAUCCAGCAACAAGGUGCAGUUCAGCUUUGAGAUGAUUAAACAGAUGAGAAACAUUAUCAGGCUUGAGGGAUUCAGUUUAACUGCAGUUCCAUAGAAACCAGCAGUAAAAAGGCUGUAUUUUUUUCCUCAUUACCCGGAAUGCAGAACUGAACUCAAGAGACUCUUCCCUUACCUCACAGAGGCUUCACAGGCUGAUUCUUUUCAUAUUAAGACAAAAGUAUACAAAAGGAUUUGAAACACCAGCAGUUUGCCAGGGGAUUAUGAUUAUUCCCCAAAUCAAAAUUAGAAUGUUAUCCCUGUUUGUGUUGUGUGAGCCAGUUACUGCAUCUUCAGAGGCACCACCUAACAUACAUUUUAUAUUCCCAUACACUUAACAGUAGCUCAUGCUGAUGAAUUGAAAGAUGCACUUUUAAGUAAAGGCUUAAAAAAAAAAAAGUCUUCAGCUCUUUAAGAAUUGGAGCUUUUAAAGAAACCACAAAGCAAUCAGCUUUUGAAAGCUCUUCUGCCAUUCAGAGAAUGCCAUGAAUCACACACACAUUAGCAGAUGUCAUGUGCAAAUCUCUGUUGCAACACUAGGAGGACAGACCUCAACCACUUUGGCAUCCAAGAAGUCAUCUCCAUUUUAAGCUUGCUGCUGACAACUCUCAACACUGUUAAUUACACCUUGCAGCUUAUAGUUGUGAGAGUGUUGCAGAAGAUACCACAGCAAUAAUACUGAACCUGUUUAAAAGUGUGAUAAAAUUUUGUGGAAACUUUCAGCUGCAGUAUUUGAGUCAAGUUACACCUGAGGUAUCAGCUAAAGCACCAUUUAACUCCAGGUGCACAUUGUAAUGCCAGAAAAUAAGCAAAUUAAAUUAUUUAUUAAGUCAGGCAGGCAAAAGGCUUUGAAAUAAUAAUCAAACCUGUGAUAGAAGUUGAGCUUGGCAAAGCUUUAAGAGACUUUGUGCUUAAUCUUUAAACAUAGUGGAAGGCUGCCCAUCACCUUGUGUGUUUGCUGUGAGCCAUCUCAAUGCAAAAAGAACAAUACAGUUCUCAUUUCCACUAUCAAACCUAACACCUGCAGUGUCUGCAUUACAAGCAAAUUACCUGUCUCUACUGAAGAAAGCACUAUGCAGGUCUCAUUGGAGAUUUGGGGUUUUCUCUUUUACCCUAAAGGGUUAUUACUACACAGCCACUCACUAUGAGCUGAUCAUUUUAUCACAUCAUCAUAACUGACACCAGGGCCAUCUUCGGAUCUUGGGUCCUCUAUAAAAAAACACCACCACAACAAAACCCAUAAGACUAACAGCACUGAAGAGAAUGGAAAGAAAAUUAUAAUAUUGUUUCCCCUUAUCACACUAAAUUCAUUUGCAAGACCAUUUAGCUUACUGUUCUCACCUUCAUACUCCACAUUCACAUUUUCUAGUGUAGCUAUAACAGGAACUGGAGUCUGUUUAAAAACCGAGUAGUUAAUUUUCAAAUUAUUUGGGACAGGUUUUCAGAUAAAAAGCUUUUAAAAAUGCUUUAAAAAAGGAAUAUUUUUCACCAGAAUCUACCAGUAAUAUAUGCUAUUUUAAAAAAUUUGGAUAUGCUGCAAACAUCCUUCCUACCCCCCUGAACAGAAAGCUGUUGAUCUAAACUUUAAUUCACAGUAUCGUUGCUUGGGAGUUUUACUAAAUGCAGUAAUGGUUCCUGUACGUUUCAGCAUAGAUCAGAACUUAGUUUCCUAGGUCACCUUAAAGAUAAAAUCUUUAAGUUUUCAAGCAGUAUUUGUGUGUUAAGAAUGCCUUUCUGCACACUGUUCUACUCUGAAGGGGUAUUUCCAGCUUACAGAAGAGCAGCAUGUUUUAUUCCUGGGCACAUCUGUUUCCUACUCCAAAACUACACACUUGAUCUGCACUAAAAGUGUUAUCAACUAAAUUUAUGAAGCACUUAAGCACACUAAGUAUCUAUGUAAAUCUCUGCUCAGCCCUUUAACAGAAAAGGGUAGGGAAAGAACAUAGUGUGAAAAAUAAUGAAGGAUCUGAGUGUCAAAGUAACUCUGGUAAUCUCAAAUGUCAUAGCCUUACCUAAAAGAAGAACUGGCACUUUCUCAUUUGUGACAUUAAAAGAAGGCGCAAGAUGAAUUUUACAAGUUUUAUUAUACAAAAGAUGAUCCAAACCCCUAAGAGCUCUUCUACAGUUCUAAAAGUUUUGUUCUGCAACUUGUACUUCCAUAUGCUUUUCCAAAAAGCCAAAAUAAAAAGACUCAUUAGUCUCACUUUCUUCUUAGCAAGAGUCUUGAAAAAACCCAACCGUAGCUGCAUCAAAAUCUGUUAUUUACUCUUUGUAUUCCAAGAAUUGCUGAAGUCUUUUCUUAUGUUCUGUAGACACUUGCACUGCACUAAAAACAAAAGCAGAACAUUUUACAUUAAGUGUAAUACACCACAAAAAUAAAGUCUCAUGCCAAAAUUGAGUAUACAUUGAAAUCAAUUACACUGAAGCUAAAUUUUAGAAAACCCAGCUGUAUGAAAAACCUAUGUUCCAAGGCAAAGAAACAUAUUAACCCUUAAAACUGUCAAUUCUCAUCCUACUACUAAGACACUUGUCCCAGGAAACCUUGUCCAUUUACUUACCUUUAAAUACACAGAGCAACUGAUUAACUUGCAAGGAUGACUUAGGUGAGAAUCUCUUAACAUGAUCUCUCCUGUAUAUUGAGCACUUCCAAACUGAGGGACAUUUCAUGCCCACAGGGAGAGAUGGGCAGAUGCUGCAGGAAGUUUCAGUCCCACAUAUUCAGAGGCCAAGUAUGAAAGUCUGCCUGCUGUGACAGUAGCUGAGAAAGAGCCUUUGGGUGACCAGGCAGCAAUGGAAUUCCAUUAUUUGGACCCUUCAUAGGAUUCUCUCCCUACAGAACAAUUGUUUCUACUUGAUUUAUUUUCUUUUCAGCAGCUCAGAUUUAUUAAAUGAGUGGUAUUCACGAACUGCUUCUAAAGAGUUCAUGAAAAGUCACUAAGAAAAAUUACCCAGAAAUCUAUGAAUAAUAAAUUUCUAAGCGGGACCAUAUAUCUACACAAGAACUUUUUAAGGUUCCACAAAUCAAAAAAGUACUAAAAUACCAUGUUAGAAUAAUGACCUGAAGAGAUUUUUUUCCCCCGAACUUCCAUUCUCACAGGUUCUACAAUAACAUUAUUUAAACUAAAUUUAACAAGCAAGCAAUCAUGAGGAAUUUCUUACUUUAAGUGUUCUCCAAAGACAGUAGUUAUCCGGUACAGUGCUGUCUUCAGAGAUGCUCUAAGUGCAAACCGUAGUGUUUUGUAGGAUGUGUCCACCAGACUCCCUGAGACCCGGGAGGGCUUGCUAGAAACAUGUGGCAGUUUGAAAUGUCUGUCUACAACCUGAUUGAGAAAAACAUAAAUGAAAUCAGGUUAUCUGUUCAAUUAUUUCAUAAUGUAACCAUUUGACACGUUUGUGUCAAAUAAAGCAAAAAAAGUGCACAUUCGGAAAUUCCACCAAGACACACAAGAAUGUUUUGGAGAUUGAUCAUUUCCCAGCCAUCAACAGGAACACAGAACCAAGAUUCUGUUACUAGUCUUAACUGCCAAGCACAGCACAUGCUGCAGUAGAAACACAAUUCUGUCCUAUAUUAUGACUUCUUUCUUUUAGAAACAAGGGUAUUGGCUUUUUUUUCCCCUUGUGCCUGUUCUUGGAAUAGAUGACUUGCACUGAAAAACUUUAAUAACCUUCAAAUUCUUUCCAAGAAUGUCCAUUAGGGCAGUGUAAAAUGAUUAUGUCAAUAGGACAUGCACAGCCUUGGAAAUAAAUCUGGAUUUUUUUAAAAUACACAUUGAACAAACAUCAGUGACUUGAGGGUAAUGUCUUAGUAUUUUGAAAGAGAACAUCAUACAGAUCUUAUCUCCUGUGAUUUGCAAUGUCUCCAAGUGCUCCAUGUUGCACGAGGAAUUGUGUACAGCCAAAUACAGUCCUAACUCUGCAUAAAAUAUAGUAGUGUAAUUGCUGCAUCCCUGAAAUAAGCACACAGUACCAUUUUUUAUUUUGAAACAUUCCAUGCUUUCUCCUUCUACAUUUUAAAAAACAAACAGGGUUUUUAUUCAGCUGUUUCAUAGUGCACACAGUGACAACCAGCUGUUUUGUUCAGAUUAAUUGCAAAAGAGCUGUUUCAGUGGCAACAACUUGAAUGUUAUGACUAGUCAGCAAGGUCAUAAUGUAAAAUUAACAAGACUCCUCCUAAACUUGUCUUGCAGUAAGGAAAAGUUAACAGUUUUACCUCCUGAAGAGUCAGUAAAGUAUUCAGGAUAGCUGGCAGUGUAGUUUGGACAACUCCAAACUGGUCUUCAGUAAAGGAGGCUGCUACCAAGUGAGACAGGCCUUUAAAAAAAAACCAACAAAAGAAUUUUGCUCUAAUUAAUGCUUCAAAAGUUGAGAAUUCAGUAACAAAGAUCAUGGCAUUGCCUAAAGAAUCUACUAGUGUGGUAGAGCUCUUCAGGACUUACUGCAGCCAGCUGACAGUUACCUCAGCUUUGGCUCAAGGACUAAAUCACUCACUGGUUUUACAAGUGUAUUAUAGCUUGAGGUUGAUAAAGCAAGAGAGAUUAUAUAUUAAAUAAAUUUUUAAAAACACAUUGGCUCCCUUUUUCCAAAAGAAAAUCCCAAAGUGCAACCACAUACUGUCAUUUUUCUGAUUCUCUGCAGAUCAUCUUUUUCUGUUUAUUUGCUAAGUUACGACCUGAGCGCCUCCCUCAAUUCCCUGAUUAACAGAGAAACACUCAGAGCCUUUAGUCAGAAAAGCUGCUGUAAAAAGAAGUCAUAAAUCUAUUGGUGGGAAAAUGUAAACGUGGUACAUGGCUUCACAUCAGCGAGAAGCAAAAGAAAUAAGUUUAGGGAUCUCUACAGAACAUAAAGUAAGAGAACUCAGAUGGGAUCUCAAAACUAACAAGUGAAUUAGACUUUAGCCUAAUGGUGUCUGGUGUCUGAAAUGCAGUUGGGAUUUUGUCAAAAGUGUUUCAAAGACUUUUAUUCUGUUAUAUUUAUAAAGCACAGAGGCCCAGAAAAGUUUUCCAUGAAUCAUCAGAGUGGAUCACCUGGAAACUGCUUACCUUCCAAAGCCCAGAUAUGCAUUUGGGCAUCAGAGAAGACAGCCUGGAUGGAGGCUUCCGGGUGCUGAGAAGAAACCAAAAUGUUGUGAGUGCACUUUAUAAAUAAUAACACAAAACCUGCAGGUUUCACUAAGGUAUUACACAUUCCAUAGGGUCCUGUCCCUCCCCUCAGAACAGACAGGUAUGGGAUAAUCCUGCUAUGAAACUCACAGUAAGUACAAAAUUGUACUUAUAGAAAACCUUAGAUAAAAAUACAGGUUUUAGAACCCUUACUCUAUGACAAGGUACAAAAGGCUACAGCAGAGCCCAUGUGCUCCUGCAUUUCCAGUCCCUGCUGCUCAGUCUCAAACCCAGGAUCGCCCUUACCUUGCUGAAGAAAUACAUUAUCAGCGCCCGUCUGGACAAGAAGUUUUUUAUCUGAAAAGAAACAAAAGAUUAAACUUAUGAUCUGUAUUUAUGUAAGGUAUGCACAGUUGGCCCUCCUCAACCCUACCAGCUUCACACAGUAUAGAGGCAUUGAGGGGAAGGGGGAGGGAAGGAUCUGUGUUAUGUAAGCUAAGCGGAGAAGGAAGUAUUCAUUCCAUAAAAUGGGAAAUUCUUCCAAAGAAUACCCAAGGUGCACCCUGUAUAUACUGCAGUUUUACUCUACCUGUUCUUGCUUGUUCUGAAGCCAUGUGUAAAUAAAUUUGGGCUGUACUGCCUCGCUACCAGCUUUUGCAGCAGAGAGCACUGGGAAGGACUCAUGGUGGGAACCAUUCAUUUGAUGAUCUACAAGAAAAAAAAUACAGUAUCUUCAGAAAAACUGGUUGCUGUCACUUUAGUCCUCACAAUACAGCUCUCCAUCGACAUGGCUACUACACUUAUGGCUACAGGACAGUGCUGUGGAAAAAUCUCUACCUGAGACUGAUGUCCACAGCUUUGGUCCCCUUCUCAUAACAAGGGGACUUUGGAGCGGUCCAUGCCAAGAGGAGUUUACAUCCACAACUCCCUUCUUGCAAUUUAAAGCGGGUGAGGUGAAGGGUGAACCAAUGUCAGACCCAGGAGAUGUCUUCAGAGGCAUUAGGGAGGGUUUAACCAGUGGAGACAUGGUGGCUCUGAGAACAACAUUAGACCUCUGUGACUGGAAAGACAUGUCUUCUGUCCCAACAGCUCCUAAUGACACAGAACACACUGCAUGGAGACAACAGGCUGGCACAGAUGAAAUAAGAGACAGGUUUGUUAUUUCAUUGCUAUUUCAACAACUUCUGGAUCAUCAGAGCUUUUAUUAUAGGACACUGUUACCGCUGUGGUCUUGCAAAGAAGUACAUCAGCAUAAGCAUGGAGUGUUUUCCAAGUUCAACAGUUUAAGAACAGCAAGUAA